rnacentral:rRNA from 1 species
AACGAACGCUGGCGGCAGGCCUAACACAUGCAAGUCGAGCGGGCGUAGCAAUACGUCAGCGGCGGACGGGUGAGUAACACGUGGGAAUAUGCCUUUCGGUUUGGAACAACUCGGGGAAACCCGUGCUAAUUCCGGAUACGCCCUUAGGGGGAAAGGAUUUAUCGCCGAAAGAUUAGCCCGCGUCCGAUUAGCUAGUUGGUGAGGUAACGGCCCACCAAGGCGACGAUCGGUAGCUGGUUUGAGAGAACGACCAGCCACACUGGGACUGAGACACGGCCCAGACUCCUACGGGAGGCAGCAGUGGGGAAUCUUGGACAAUGGAGGAAACUCUGAUCCAGCCAUGCCGCGUGAGUGAUGAAGGCCUU